CUUUAUUUUGUCAAGUACAAAAAUGGCGUCACGUAGCUCGCCCUGCAAUUUCACUGGUUCUGCUUCUGCUCUUGUGCUUCCGUUUGCACCCUGCAAAACCCUUCAACCCUCUCUGAUGGAAAGCUAGCCUAGACCUCAGGCGAUGCCAUGGCAGGAGAGCACCGACGCCGCUCCUCCUUUUCCUCCUCCUUGAUCUGCCUUGCCCUCCUUGUCUGCCUCCUCCCCUCCGUCGGGGCGAGCGGCGCCGGCGACUUGCAGCUGCUGAUGUCGUUCAAGGGCGCAGUGGGUAACUCACAGUCGCUGCAGAGCUGGGACCGUCUCCGCAGUCCGUGCUCCUUCGCCGGAGUGACCUGUGACUCCAGCGGCAGCGUCGCUGCCCUCGCGCUGCAGAGAGUGCCCCUUGUCGUCGACUUCGGCGCCUUCUCGUCUUCGAUCCUUUCCCUUGAGGGACUCCAGCGUCUUUCCCUCCACGAUGUGAACCUCACUGGAACCUUGUCUGGAUACGUCUGCGGUAGCCAGUUGGUUGAGAUGGAUCUGUCCGGCAACGGCCUCCGCGGCUCUCUAGCUGACGUUUUCACUUUUGCGGCUGUUUGCGCCGGGCUGAAGUCGCUCAACCUCUCCCGCAACUCUUUCGGGAAUGGACCGACCGCAACUGACAAUGCUCCUGUCUUGGCGGCGCUCGAGAUUGAGACGCUUGAUCUCUCCUUCAACAAGCUCUCCGAAGAGUAUGAGCUACGGGGUCUGCUCUCCAACCUAGGCAGUCUCCGCCGCCUUGAUCUGGUCGGGAACCGCCUUUCAGGCGGGCUUCCGUCUGUCGUCAACUGCUCCUACCUUCAGCGCCUGGACCUUUCUUCCACCGGCCUGUCCGGCGAGGUCGGCGCCGAUGUCUUCACCGACUGCCUGAGCUUGACAUUCUUGAACCUGUCUGCCAACCACUUCACCGGCAGACUCCCGUCCAGCCUCUCAUCUUGCGCUUCCUUGACCACGCUCAGCCUAUCCGGCAACAACUUCUCGGGCGAGUUCCCUGCCGACAUCCUCGCCUCGCUACCCAACCUCCAUGUUCUGGAGCUGGCGUUCAACAACCUCAGCGGCAGUCUUGGGAACACCAUCGCCGCGAUGCCCAAUCUCGAAGUGUUCGAUCUCAGCUCCAACACGCUGACGGGAGCCAUUCCCCCGGAGCUUUGUCCUAACCACCAGUUCGCAUUAAGAGUGCUGUACCUCCAGAACAACCAACUCUCCGGCGACAUCCCGGCGUCUCUGAGCAACUGCACGAAGCUCGUCUCCCUUGAUCUCAGCCUCAAUUACAUCACUGGAACCAUUCCGCGUGGACUCGGUUCGCUUUCUUCCCUACGAGACCUCGUCAUGUGGCAGAAUUUGCUCGAAGGCGAAAUUCCGCCGGAGCUAUCCAACCUCCGAAGCCUCAAGAACCUCAUUCUCGACAAUAAUGGGCUCACCGGACCGAUUCCUUCCGGGCUGGCGAAUUGCACAGGUCUGAAUUGGCUUUCGCUAUCAAGUAACCAUCUCAAUGGAAGCAUCCCGUCCUGGAUCGGCCAGCUUCACAAUCUUGCAAUACUUAAGCUCGCGAACAACUCCUUUUCUGGCCCGAUCCCGCAGGAGCUUGGAGACUGCAAGAGUUUGAUUUGGUUGGACUUGAACAACAACCAACUCACCGGAUUAAUCCCGCCGAGCUUGGCCAAACAGUCGGGCAAAAUCGCGGUGGGCUUCUUAGGCACCGGCGAGCCGUACGUGUACUUGAAGAACGACGGCACCAGUGGGUGCCGAGGCACCGGCGACCUCCUGGAGUUUGGUGGGGUUCGGCCGGAGGAUCUCGACCGUUUACCCAGCCGGCACUUCUGCAACUUCACCAGGGUUUACAAAGGGAUAACACAGUAUACCUUCAGCAACAAUGGAUCUAUGCUCUUCUUCGAUCUUUCCUUCAAUCAGCUGGACGGGGAGAUCCCCAAGGAGCUUGGAGACAUGUACUACCUUCUUAUCUUGAACCUUGGCCACAACAAGCUCUCCGGCGUGAUUCCACCGGAACUGGGGAACCUGAGGUAUGUUGCAGGGCUCGAUCUCUCACACAAUGAUCUUGAAGGGCACAUCCCUCAGUCCUUCUCCGGCCUUGCCAUGCUAGCUGAGAUUGACCUCUCCAACAACAGGCUAAAUGGGUCCAUUCCUGAACUGGGUCAGCUGGCAACCUUCCCACGGUAUGGCUAUGAGAACAACUCCGGCCUUUGUGGGUUCCCUCUCCCGCCCUGUAAAGACAUUGCCGGGGCUACUUUGGACACACGGCACAAGAAGUCUCAUCGCCAGGCUUCUCUCGCAGGGAGCCUUGCAAUGGGAUCUCUUUUCUUCGUCUUCUGCAUUGUUGGCCUCAUCAUCAUUGCAGUAGAGAGCAAGAGGAGGAAGAGUGAAAAUAAAUCUAAGAGCAACCGUGCUGGAGACAUCUACUCAGAUAGCCGAUCUCACUCCGGCACUGCCAAUUCAAACUGGAAGCUGACUGCCACCAAGGAUGCAUUGGCCAUCAACCUUGCCACGUUCGAUAUGCCUCUCAAGAAGCUCUCCUUUGCGGACUUGGUCCAGGCAACCAAUGGCUUCCACAAUGACAGCUUGAUAGGUUCAGGUGGAUUUGGUGAUGUUUAUAAAGCCCAGCUGAAAGAUGGAAGCGUCGUUGCCAUCAAGAAACUUAUCCAUGUCAGUGGACAGGCAGACAGAGAGUUCACAGCUGAAAUGGAGACAAUUGGAAAGAUCAAGCACCGCAACCUGGUUCCUCUGCUGGGCUACUGCAAAGUCGGAGAAGAGCGUCUGUUGGUUUAUCAGUUUAUGAAGUAUGGUAGCUUAGACGAUGUCUUGCAUAACCGAAACAAUGCUGGAAUCAAGCUGAAUUGGGCAGCUAGAAGGAAGAUUGCAAUGGGAGCUGCCAGAGGGUUGGCAUUCUUGCAUCACAACUGCACACCUCGUAUAAUUCACAGAGAUAUGAAGUCCAGCAAUGUUCUUCUCGAUGAGAAUCUGGAGGCAAGGGUCUCUGAUUUUGGGAUGGCAAGGCAGAUGGGUGCAGUGGACACCCAUUUGAGUGUUUCUGCACUAGCAGGCACCCCUGGUUAUGUGCCACCUGAGUACUACCAGAGCUUUCGGUGCACCAUCAGGGGUGAUGUUUAUAGCUACGGUGUUGUCUUGCUCGAGCUGCUCACUGGGAGACGACCUACUGAUUCUGCAGACUUUGGGGAUGACAAUUUGGUUGGGUGGGUCAAGCAACACUCUAAACAUAGGAUAAGCAAUGUGUUCGACCCUGAGCUGUUGAAGGAUGAUCCCUCUCUUGAACUGGAGUUAUUAGAGCAUCUUAAUAUCGCUUGUGCCUGCCUCGAUGAGAGGCCAUUCAGGCGACCGACAAUGCUGAAGGUGAUGUCAAUGUUUAAGGAGAUACAAGCAGUUUCUUCUUUAAGUUCCGAUGUCUGUGUCACUGUGGCUUCAAUAGAUGGGAGCCUCUGUGAGGGGGAUAUGAGCUUGAAGGAAGAAGACAAAGAAGAUCGAGUUUGAAUGAGGUGGUAUCUUCAAACAAACUGGUUCCAUUCACCAUUGAAGGAUUGAGAGGACAGCAGGUCUCAUUCUUCAUCUCGCAAUGGAUGACGAGACAAACAUGCGCUCUCAGAGGAGUUGGUUUAACUUCACUACUGUUUCAGAACAGGAGAAGAAGAAUUAUUGGGGGAUUCCAGCUAGUCAGUCUGUUGUGUUGUUUCCCCAUCGGCUGACAUUUGAUAUGGCAGUGACCUCCAACAAUUAUGCAAAUAUUAAGCAAUGAAGCGGAUCGAAAAAGACAGAUGCCUUGAGUGGUCUGGAUUGUGUGACCUCUAGCACAUGAAAACAUGAUUGGCUUGAUUAGGGCUGUUAAGGCGACGGUUUCAUCUUUUGCUCCAAUGAUUCGCUUGAUUAAUUUUGAAGGUAAAUGGAUUUUAUGCACACUCAGAAGUCAUCUCCGGCUUUAGGGGGAGUGUUACAAUACACACAAGUAUGAUAAUUGAGCUGGGGGGUCCUCCAGAGAGUAAUGUCUGUACUCACUUCCCAGUUGUAGAGUUUACGAGGUGGAGCGAGGUGCAUUAUUGUUAGGUGUUUGUCUGUAAAGUAGUCGGCAAGCUUGCGAGUCGCCAUCCAUUAUUUUGUUUGGGAGCAACUAUCUGCCAAGGGAAUAUUGUAAAUUAUGAUAGUUGUUUUUCGUGUAAGACUAUCUUUUACAUUAGAGAGGCAGGUUGGUCGUGAAGUGUGAUGGUUGCUGCUGAAGUUUGAAAAGGAUGCUCUUCUUGGAACAGGAUCGUUAUCGUUUCAGGAUCGUUGUCAAGGUGGUUUUCCUUGUUGAUCCCUAUGGAUGGAAGGAGAGAUAUUUGGUUUACUACUCUUCCAAUUCACGGUGGAGUCACAACAGUGCCUUCAGUGCGAGUUAUUGUUGUAUGUAUGAUGCAAAUGGGUUGAGAUCUGAGUGAGGUUCAAGUUGUGGCAAGGUUUAGUGUGGUUGAGGUUGCGAGGAGGUUUGGUGAGGAUGAUUGUUUGCAAGCAAGGUGCUGAGUGAGAGCUACUAGCUAUAAGGAUUAUUGUAGACCUGAUGCGAUCGAAAGUACUUUCUUAUGAGUAGUGGCAAGGUGCAGUGGAAGAAUGUUAGAUUCAAUUGGGCAUAUGUUGACAUUGAAUUUAAUAAAAAAAUAUGGAUUGGAUGAU